rnacentral:lncRNA from 1 species
CCAUGGCAGGUCGAGGCGACGGAACGCGAGACGGCAGGGGGCGUACCUUUGUCUGAGGAGUGAAGUCCGCGCGGCGCCACCAGUACUUGGGGCGAACCGGAGACCAACCCGCUUCAUCUUGCACGUCGACUUGAAUAGGCGUCCUAUCAGCAGAGCUUCGGGAUGGGAUGUCGCCAUUAUUGUAGGUGCUGGAGCUCGCAACGGCCCUGCAACGGCCAGAUCUGCCCCCAACAGAGGCAGCAGAGGGGGAUUUGAGGCAGGAUCUGGGUUGGUGGCGAGCUGGAGGAGGGGAGUAAUGGCGUCGCAGAGGGGGGAGGCUGACCUGGGGGGCGCAGACGAAGGAGACGCGACGCGGAGUAGCAUAGGGGCGCAGCGGGGAGGCCGUCACGUCGAUUGGGAUGGGGAUCGAGCCCACCACGAUGGAGCUCAGACGCGGCUGCCGCGCUGGCUCAUCCGGCGACCGACCGGCGCGGGGAGGAAGGGCGGGGCCUCGAGGGUCGCGAGGACCGUGAGGCGAGGCGUCGUGGCACGGGAGGGUGGGCAUGACCGGUGGGGAGGCUGGAGGU